AUUGAACGCUGGCGGCGGGCCUAACACAUGCAAGUCGAGCGGAUGAAGGGAGCUUGCUCCUGGAUUCAGCGGCGGACGGGUGAGUAAUGCCUAGGAAUCUGCCUGGUAGUGGGGGAUAACGUCCGGAAACGGGCGCUAAUACCGCAUACGUCCUGAGGGAGAAAGUGGGGGAUCUUCGGACCUCACGCUAUCAGAUGAGCCUAGGUCGGAUUAGCUAGUUGGUGGGGUAAAGGCCUACCGAGGCGACGAUCCGUAACUGGUCUGAGAGGAUGAUCAGUCACACUGGAACUGAGACACGGUCCAGACUCCUACGGGAGGCAGCAGUGGGGAAUAUUGGACAAUGGGCGAAAGCCUGAUCCAGCCAUGCCGCGUGUGUGAAGAAGGUCUUCGGAUUGUAAAGCACUUUAAGUUGGGAGGAAGGGCAGUAAGUUAAUACCUUGCUGUUUUGACGUUACCAACAGAAUAAGCACCGGCUAACUUCGUG
rnacentral:rRNA from 1 species